ensembl:lncRNA
AUUCGCUCUAUAUAAGCUUUUAGAAUUUAUUUUACUAUUUCUUUGAAUUGGUAUUCACCAACAAGCAUCACUUGAUAAAAAGUAAAUUUCCCAUUGUGUAAAACACGUCAUGAUACACAAAAAUAUGUUUAGUCCAACUUAGGUUGUUUUAGGGGUGUUGGAGAGAUCUGCUUCAUAACGCGUGUUGUGUAAAGAGAACGGUCAGCAACAUCAACUCCCCUUCCACUAAAAACUUGAGUUGGACGAUUAUUAUCCAGAAUCUGACCAAUGGAGAACACAAACUUAAUUAAGAACUUAAUGUUCUUGUUUCGUGUGAGGCAGUACUUUUAUAUUAGUAACUAGCAAGCGUUGUGGUUCCUCUAUGAGGAACAGGUAGGGGUUAUGAUCUUCUUGCUGAAUGAUGCCUACAGGUUAGACUGGGGACAUUGGGGAUCAAACCCGGUACUUUCUGGCUGGGAGUGGAACCCCCUAGCCCUCCGACAGACUCACCCACUGGGAGGACCCUUUGGACGAGCUGGUGCUGGUUCCGUCCACCUCAGAGUCUCCAUGGGGAACCUCAUAGAUCACCCUUGCUGCUUGGUCCAAC